UAAAACCAGACAAGGUUUGACAGCAUUACCGCUCAGUAUGAGCAAGUACUUGAGGCAACAAAAAUGUCUGCGAUUCUUCUAGCAGAAGUUUGGAUCCUGACAUCUCUACUUCUCUCAGGCAUUUUUGCUGCUGACUGGAUAGUGGAAGUUCCUAGUGAUCCAGUUUACUCUCCUCUCGGCUCUUCUGUAGUCCUCCAAUGCACGUAUGACUAUCCUGAAGACUCCGAGCAGGGAAAACCACACCGAGUGCUGUCAGAAAUGUGGUGUUUGAAUCAAAGCCGCUGCAUUACGCAGAGAUAUGUGUACCACAGUGCAGGAAUAUUCCCUGAGCCCUCAUACCAGGGCCGCAUCAAGUACUUUGGGCAGACGGGCAGCAAAAACUGCUCUCUGAUGAUCUCUGAUCUUAGGUCAGCGGACAGCGGCGUGUAUGUGUUUCGCUUUAUCACUGACCACCAAAAGGCCAAACUGCCAGGACAGAGAGGAGUGAAUCUGCAGGUUACACAGCUGAUGACAGAUACAAUCUAUAAGAAUAACAUCGUCCUGUAAUUUCUUCACAGCAAAAAGCGCAUCUUCAUCCACUGUUGGCAUUGUGUUUGGAGUUAUUGUCAUUCUUAUAAUAAUAGCAUGCGUUUUACUAUUCAUCAGAAAUAAAUCACGGAGCCAGAGGUCAAGAUCACUUUGAACAAGGAAUUGAUGCUGUAUUACGACAGUACCACAGAGGAUGGGGAAAAAACUGGUCACUGUGAUAAGAAAUGAUGCUUCUGCUUUUUACAGUUUGCAGCAACCUUUACAUCCUUUGAAGACACUUUUUGUCAGAUAUUUAUCUAUUUAUAUUAUUUUCUGCACAUCAAACUGCUUAAUGUUGUUGUCUACUGUAUAUCGCAUUGUAUUUAAUAUUUUGCAUGACUGCUGUGUUGCUGUAUGGGUGAACGCGCUGACCUCUGCCAAUGGAUCAACAUUAGUGGUCUUCAGAGAGUCUUUGAAAAGAAUUAAUUAAUUAAUUAAUUACUGCUACAAAGUUUUAUUCAAUAUUGUGGAUGCCUAAUGUACAUUGUACAGAAUUGUGCUGUCAUCUAUGAACUAUUAUUUCAAUAUAAAAGCAAUUGGUAUUAUUAAAGAAACAAUUCACCGCAAAA